UCCAGACUCCUACGGGAGGCAGCAGUGGGGAAUAUUGCACAAUGGGGGGAACCCUGAUGCAGCGACGCCGCGUGGGUGAAGGAGCACCUCGGUGCGUAAAGCCCUCUCGGCAGGGAAGAAACAGACGGUACCUGACUAAGAAGCCCCGGCUAACUACGUGCCAGCAGCCGCGGUAAUACGUAGGGGGCCAGCGGUGUUCGGAAUGACUGGGCGUAAAGGGUGCGUAGGCGGUGCAGCAAGUUAGAAGUGAAAUACCUAGAGCUUAACUCAGGUGCUGCUUCUAAAACUGCUAUACUUGAGUGCAGUAGAGGAAAGUGGAAUUCCUAGUGUAGCGGUGGAAUGCGUAGAUAUUAGGAGGAACAUCAGUGGCGAAGGCGACUUUCUGGACUGUAACUGACGCUGAGGCACGAAAGUGUGGGGAGCAAACAGGAUUAGAUACCCGAGUA
rnacentral:rRNA from 1 species